rnacentral:ncRNA from 1 species
AAUUGCAUAGGGCGGUUAGUUUAUGCUGUUUAACCAUACCAGCGUAGUGGAUAGAACCCACAUUGGACUUCUAUAAGGAGAAAUAUAAAAUG